AUCCGGCUGACGAGUCCCAGAUAAGACGAAACAUGCAUCUUGGAU
rfam:Schistosoma margrebowiei strain Zambia genome assembly, scaffold: SMRZ_scaffold0003180